rnacentral:rRNA from 1 species
GGAACAACCGUUGGAAACGACGGCUAAUACCGCAUGACGUCUACGGACCAAAGAUUUAUCGCCCAGAGAUCAGCCCGCGUUGGAUUAGCUAGUUGGGGGGGUAACGGCCCACCAAGGCGGCGAUCCAUAGCUGGUUUGAGAGGAUGAUCAGCAACACUGGGACUGAGACACGGCCCAGACUCCUACGGGAGGCAGCAGUGGGGAAUCUUGGACAAUGGGCGCAAGUGAUCCAGCCAUGCCGCGUGGAUGAAGGCCUUAGGGUUGUAAAGCUCUUUCACCGGUGAAGAUAAUGACGGUAGCCGGAGAAGAAACCCCGGCUAACUCCGUGCCAGCAGCCGCGGUAAUACGGAGGGGGUUAGCGUUGUUCGGAAUUACUGGGCGUAAAGCGCACGUAGGCGGACUAUUAAGUCAGGGGUGAAAUCCCGGGGCUCAACCCCGAACUGCCCUUGAUACUGGUAGUCUAGAGUUCGAGAGAGGUGAGUGGAAUUCCGAGUGUAGAGGUGAAAUUCGUAGAUAUUCGGAGGAACACCAGUGG